rnacentral:rRNA from 1 species
AUUGAACGCUAGCGGGAUGCUUUACACAUGCAAGUCGAACGGCAGCGCGGACUUCGGUCUGGCGGCGAGUGGCGAACGGGGGAGUAAUGUAUCGGAACGUGCCCAGUAGCGGGGGAUAAAUACGCGAAAGAGUAGCUAAUAUCGCACACGCCCUACGGGGGAGAGCAGGGGAGCGUAAGACCUUGCACUAUUGGAGCGGCCGAUAUCGGAUUAGCUAGUUGGUGAGGUAACGGCUCACCAAGGCGACGAUCCGUAGCUGGUUUGAGAGGACGACCAGCCACACUGGGACUGAGACACGGCCCAGACUCCUACGGGAGGCAGCAGUGGGGAAUUUUGGACAAUGGGGGCAACCCUGAUCCAGCCAUCCCGCGUGUGCGAUGAAGGCCUUCGGGUUGUAAAGCACUUUUGGCAGGAAAGAAACGUCUCGGGCUAAUACCCCCUGGAACUGACGGUACCGGCAGAAUAAGCACCGGCUAACUACGUG